UACUCGACCUGUCACUCGACCUCA
rnacentral:siRNA from 1 species